rnacentral:lncRNA from 1 species
ACCCCUAGGUCGUCUCCGAAAGACCAAUUUUGCGGUUCAAGAAUCGAGUCUAACACGAAAAGGGGGGGUUAUGAAAAUGGUUUUGCAAAAAUUAAAGAAGUCAAUAAAGACACAGAUGCAACCAAACUAAUUUAAGCUAGCUUGGUAAUUAAACUAACAUUAUUAAAAACCUUAGANAACAUUCAAACAAAAUAAAAUAAAAUACUAGACCCCAACAAGACAACAAACAACUACCUAACACAGUUAAAUUAAUUUAAAUGCAAAACUAAAUUAAAGUGAUGAAAAACAACUCAACCUACUAUGCAAAUUAAUUGAAAAUAAAAGAAAUAAACAACAUGACUUCCUACUAGCAAUAUCACGUGACCAUCCAUGCACCAAAUAAAGAAAUUCAAUUUCUAGAAUGGCCAAAAACCUUCAUGGCUGUGAGUUGCAACAUACCAACUCCCAUUUCACUUCCUUCCUUCAAUAAACUAUUAUUUAUGUUGUCUUUUUGUCAUGUGCUUCAUUCUCCAAGACAAACCUUGCCUUCCACACUUUUCUACCAUGAAAACCAUGCUACUACUCUCUCCAUGAAGUCAACAACAAAUUCUUCUACAACCAAAGCAAGGUAACGUAUUCAAUGCCCAAAAGACCAACAAAAUGGAUUUUGCUUCUACCAAGGUGCCACAUGUGCAAAGUCAAAUGUGAAUAAAACAAACACAAAACACUCUCUUCCUCAUGCAAUGUUCGGUCAAGCUAGCAAAGGGCAAAGACCAAAAUGGCAAUAUUCCUUCCAUGGUAAAUGAGCUCUUCAUGUGCAUGGCCAAAUGAGGUAAAAAUUAAAUGAACCCUUUCUCUCUCCCUUCUCAACCUAUUUUCGGUUUUCACACCAACACAAACAAGCAAAUAGCUUCCUUUCACCUUCCAAAACCGAGAACAACUCCAAAGAACCCAAAGUUUCAAUUGCAAAAGCUUACAAGAACAACAACCCCAAAUUUCAACUUCUACUAACCAACCUAACACUCACUUUUCUUCAAACUUUUAUGAAAAUCAAAAUGGAAUUUCUACUCCACCUUGCAGUGUGACACCCGGGCACUGACGAGGGUGGGGAGUGAUCGCCGGUGCAAGAGGCAUGGUGUAGGGGGCACAGACAAGGAGUGGCUCCUGGCAGGCUUCCAGUGGAAGGGACACAUGGACGAAUCGAACAUACACCGGAAUGAGAGGGAUCUGGAGACUGUAUAGGUAUGGGACUAUACAGUUGAAGGAUAGCUUAAAGGAAUUGAU